rnacentral:snRNA from 1 species
ACUAUCGUUCGAAAUGGUACAUAUGUCAUCUUUAACAAUACAGAGACGAUUGGCAUUGUCCUUGCAUACAGAUGACACGCUAUACAAAGAUUUAAAAAAAAAUUAU